UGCAAUCCACGGCAAAAAUAUACUAGCAGGCCACUUGAUCUUCGGUUUGCAGCCGCUAUUUAUACUCCCUCUAGGUCCAGCACCGGCCGGUCCACUUCUGCUAGCAGGCAGCCAUCUGCAGCUAGGGUUCAUAGUUCAUAGUCAGUGACCAACAUGAGUGACCGAAGGUACGGGUACUCGUACCCACACAACCAAGGGUAUUACAACGGACCGCCGGUGAUGGCGCCGCCGCAGUACGCCCCGCCGCCGAGACGGCAGACGGGAUUCCUCGAAGGAUGCCUGGCUGCUCUGUGCUGCUGCUGCCUCGUCGACGAGUGCUGCUGCGACCCGUCCAUCAUAUUCGUGAGCUGAUCGAAACACGUACGCGGUCCAGACGACGGCCGACCGAUCGACCGACCGACGAACCAUCCGAGCCGAGCUACGUACCUAACGUACUGGUAGUAGUACAUGUGCGAUUUAUAUAUGCGUGUCGUGUGUAUGUGUGCUUCCCUUGAGCUGUUGCUUUCAGCUAUAGCAAUAGCAUAUGCCCCUAGAGGCCUAGAACAGAGUAGAACUGCAGAAAGAAUAGCCAGCCCGUCCUGCCGUUCGGUUCAGCUCUCCAGCGGCACGACGGGUGGGUGGUGUGUGUUGCAUGUAUGUAUGUAUCUGAUGUGAUCCCCUAAAAAAAAGUAUCUGAUGUGAGUCUACGAAUAAGAUGAGGAAAAAGAAAAGUUCGGCACCUUCUA